CACGUAGGGUGCGAGCGUUGUCCGGAAUUAUUGGGCGUAAAGAGCUCGUAGGCGGUGUGUCGCGUCGGCCGUGAAAACCUGCAGCUUAACUGUGGGCUUGCGGUCGAUACGGGCAUCACUGGAGUUCGGCAGGGGAGACUGGAAUUCCUGGUGUAGCGGUGAAAUACGCAGAUAUCAGGAGGAACACCGGUGGCGAAGGCAGGUCUCUGGGGCCGAUACUGACGCUGAGGAGCGAAAGCGUGGGGAGCGAACAGGA
rnacentral:rRNA from 1 species